rnacentral:rRNA from 1 species
AUGAGGUGCUUGCUGCUCUUGGUUGUGUUCUUUGUGGCCGGACCAUGGAAACACCCCGGGGAAGCCCGGCCACUGGUGCCGGCGGUCAUGCUGUUCGGUGACUCGUUGGUUGACAUAGGCAACAACGACUACAUCCAGACUGCCGCCAAGGCAAAUUUUCCUCCAUACGGUAGGGACUUCCAAGACCAUAUCGCCACAGGGAGAUUUUGCAACGGCAAGGUGCUCAGCAAUUUCAUAGGUGAAGCGCUGGGGUUUACUGGCUCCCCAGUAGCAUAUCUCAUCCCGGAGGCAUCGGGGGAGAAUCUUCUUAGUGGAGCUAACUUUGCAUCUGCCCAAUCGGGCUAUUACGACCAAACGGCACAUAUGUAUAACGUUGUCCCUUUGUCCCAACAAUUAGAGCAUUUCAAAGAGUACCGACAUAAGCUGGUAGUGCAAGUUGGGAGCAACCAGGCUCAGUCUAUCAUCUCAGACUCACUUUAUAUCAUCAGUGCUGGUUCAAAUGAUUAUCUCUUCAACUACUAUGUCAACCCUUUCAUUUAUAAAUCCCAGGAUCAGUUCUCUGACCUCCUUAUCGGCAUCUUGAACAACACGGUGGCGGUACUUUACGGCAUGGGUGCUCGGCGCAUCGGUGUUUUCUCUUUGCCAAGUUUUGGUUGUGCUCCCUUAGCAGUCACGGUGUUUGGCCAUGGGGGCAAUGACACGUGCGUAACUAGGCUCAACAAUGAUGCCAUGAGGUUCAACAGAAAGUUAAGCACAUCCGUCGACUUGCUGUCAAAGCGGUACCACGAUCUCAAGAUUGCAGUUCUCGAUUUGUAUACACCUCUGUACAGCCUCGUGACCUCUCCUGGCUCACAAGGGUUCACUGAGUCGAGGACUCGAGGCGAGGAUGCUGUGGGACAGGAACGGUGGAGGCUACGGUGUUUCUCUGCAAUCCUAUAUCGAUCGGGACUUGUCCAAACGCAACAGCAUACGUGUUCUGGGAUUCUGUCCACCCCACAGAAGCAGCAAACAAUGUGA